AGUUUGAUCAUGGCUCAGAUUGAACGCUAGCGGGAUGCCUUACACAUGCAAGUCGAACGGCAGCACGGACUUCGGUCUGGUGGCGAGUGGCGAACGGGUGAGUAAUGUAUCGGAACGUGCCCAGUAGCGGGGGAUAACUACGCGAAAGCGUAGCUAAUACCGCAUACGCCCUACGGGGGAAAGCAGGGGAUCGUAAGACCUUGCACUAUUAGAGCGGCCGAUAUCGGAUUAGCUAGUUGGUGGGGUAACGGCUCACCAAGGCGACGAUCCGUAGCUGGUUUGAGAGGACGACCAGCCACACUGGGACUGAGACACGGCCCAGACUCCUACGGGAGGCAGCAGUGGGGAAUUUUGGACAAUGGGGGAAACCCUGAUCCAGCCAUCCCGCGUGUGCGAUGAAGGCCUUCGGGUUGUAAAGCACUUUUGGCAGGAAAGAAACGUCAUGGGUUAAUACCCCGUGAAACUGACGGUACCUGCAGAAUAAGCACGGCUAACUACGUGCCAGCCCCGCGUAUUC
rnacentral:rRNA from 1 species